AUUGAACGCUGGCGGCAUGCCUUACACAUGCAAGUCGAACGGCAGCGGGCCUUCGGGUGCCGGCGAGUGGCGAACGGGUGAGUAAUGCAUUGGAACGUGCCAUUGAGUGGGGGAUAACGUAGCGAAAGUUGCGCUAAUACCGCAUAUUCUGUGAGCAGGAAAGCAGGGGACCGCAAGGCCUUGCGCUCUUUGAGCGGCCGAUGUCAGAUUAGCUAGUUGGUGAGGUAAAGGCUUACCAAGGCGACGAUCUGUAGCGGGUCUGAGAGGAUGAUCCGCCACACUGGAACUGAGACACGGUCCAGACUCCUACGGGAGGCAGCAGUGGGGAAUUUUGGACAAUGGGGGCAACCCUGAUCCAGCCAUGCCGCGUGAGUGAAGAAGGCCUCGGUUGU
rnacentral:rRNA from 1 species